UCUCCAAUCCCUCCACAAGCCAUAUGUUCAAAUCCAGACCCUACACUCCCCUCAAUUGUUUCAGAACCUUUGUCUACGAAGGACUAUCAUCGGACUCGUCAGAAUGGCGAUCUCGAACAGGCUGAUUGCGAUGAGAAAGACCAGGCGGCGAGGCACAUUAACGCUUCAGAAACGAAAUCAGAAGAUGGACAGUUCAUCUCUGCCCUAAUUUUUCUCUCCAUUUCUGCUCAAAUCAACAUUGAAGAGGUUAUUACAAAAUUCGCUCAACUGACACCACAAGAAAAGA